UGGAGACGUGCCAGAGCGGCCGAAUGGACUUCACUGCUAAUGAAGGGUCGGGGUUAAACUCGACCGGGGGUUCAAAUCCCCCCGUCUCCGCCAC
rnacentral:tRNA from 1 species